GUGGGGAAUUUUGGACAAUGGGCGCAAGCCUGAUCCAGCCAUGCCGCGUGUGGGAAGAAGGCCUUCGGGUUGUAAACCACUUUUGUCAGGGAAGAAACGGCUCUUACUAAUAUUAGGAGCUAAUGACGGUACCUGAAGAAUAAGCACCGGCUAACUACGUGCCAGCAGCCGCGGUAAUACGUAGGGUGCAAGCGUUAAUCGGAAUUACUGGGCGUAAAGCGUGCGCAGGCGGCUUUGCAAGACAGAUGUGAAAUCCCCGGGCUCAACCUGGGAACUGCAUUUGUGACUGCAUGGCUAGAGUACGGUAGAGGGGGAUGGAAUUCCGCGUGUAGCAGUGAAAUGCGUAGAUAUGCGGAGGAACACCGAUGGCGAAGGCAAUCCCCUGGACCUGUACUGACGCUCAUGCACGAAAGCGUGGGGAGCAAACAGGAUUAGAUACCCUUGUAGUCC
rnacentral:rRNA from 1 species